rnacentral:rRNA from 1 species
GUCCACACCGUAAACGCUGUCUACUAGCUGUGUGUGUCUUUAAGACGUGCGUAGCGAAGCUAACGCGCUAAGUAGACCGCCUGGGGAGUACGGCCGCAAGGUUAAAACUCAAAUGAAUUGACGGGGGCCCGCACAAGCGGUGGAGCAUGUGGUUUAAUUCGAUGCAACGCGAAGAACCUUACCUACACUUGACAUGCUGAGAAGUUACUAGAGAUAGUUUCGUGCCUUCGGGAACUCAGACACAGGUGCUGCAUGGCU